UAGGGAAUCUUCCGCAAUGGACGCAAGUCUGACGGAGCAACGCCGCGUGAGUGAAGAAGGAUUUCGGUUCGUAAAACUCUGUUGUUAGAGAAGAACAGCGCAUAGAGUAACUGUUAUGCGUGUGACGGUAUCUAACCAGAAAGCCACGGCUAACUACGUGCCAGCAGCCGCGGUAAUACGUAGGUGGCAAGCGUUGUCCGGAUUUAUUGGGCGUAAAGCUAUCGCAGGCGGUCAAUUAAGUCUGAUGUGAAAGCCCCCGGCUCAACCGGGGAGGGUCAUUGGAACCUGGUUGACUUGAGUGCAGAAGAGGAGAGUGGAAUUCCAUGUGUAACGGUGAAAUGCGUAGAUAUAUGGAGGAACACCAGUGGCGAAGGCGACUCUCUGGUCUGUAACUGACGCUGAGGCUCGAAAGCGUGGGUAGCAAACAGG
rnacentral:rRNA from 1 species